AUAUUUUCAAUAUUGUUCAGACCCACAACAGGUUAAUAGUACCAACCGAAAAAGAUAAGCUGUCAUUUUGACAUUCCACAAUUAGCUUCCUCAGAAAAAAAAAUGUUCGUCUCUGGAUCAAAAUGUUCGGUAAACAGAGAUCUGAUGAAACUUGCUCCAUCAACACAGAUCGUUAAAGGUUGAUUCUGUCAGUGUCGUCUAUGUCUGAAGAAGAUCAUAAAAGUCAUAUCUCAAGACAAAAAAAAGAUCUAAAGCUAAAGGAUACAUAAAGAUCGAUCUCUUCAGAAUAUGUUUCAUGUCACCCGAUGAGUUAUGCCGUUAAAUGCUUGUGGAUCAAUGAUCGGGAGAAAAUUGCUUACUCAAUACCUUCAACUUCUUGUUCUAAAGAUAAGUCUUUCAUUUUUUUCACAUUUUUAAAGUUUUAUGCUAUAAUAUAAUAUCCGUUCAUAUUCAAAUUUUGCGUUUUGAUUUUACUGAAUGGUUUGAAAAUUUGUAUCAAUACAUACUUGAGGACACAAGCUUUCGUAUACAUACUUGAUCGAGGACACAAGCUUUCGUACUUUAGUUGAUUUAUUAUUUAAUCAAAGUUUCCAGAUUGAAUAUAUUAGUGUUUGAUUAUUGGAUGUUUGAAUCUUUACUAAAUUACAAUAUAAUUAUGUUGGUAUCAAUAGUAAUUACUUUUUAUUUUUUGAUUAAAAGGAACCCUCUCAAAGCGUUAUGUGAACUUCAUGAUUUGUUUGUUUUUGAUUGCUAACACUCACUGUAUUUUUGUCCGUUUAUUUUAGUGUUCCUAUGAUUGUAUUAAAUAUUGGUAUCUACAUUUAAGAUCUCUGUCAUGAACUAUUAUUGUUUAGUUUAUUAGAUUAUGAUAAUCAGAAACGGUAAAAGGAUCUCCAAUCUUAAAAUUUCUAAUUGAUAUAUCAUUUGUUAUUCAGUACAUAGCUCAUUUAUUUUCAAUAUAGUUUGAUUAUUGUUUCAUGAACCUUUAUUCUCUGGUUUGUUUCAGGAGUAAAUGAAAAUGGUUACAAUCUAUACCAAACAAAGGUUCCUCUUAUUACCAGUUUGCAGAAUCCAAUAAACGUUCAAGCUUGGUAUUGCUGGAACAUCAUUCUCAAUAUACAAAGAGAUGGUACAUCUAAUCUAUAAGAAAGGAAAAUUAGUGUUGAUACAAUUGAAGUUUGUUUAAAAUGUAGAUGUUACUUUGUUAUUUAAUGAUACGUUAUGUUUCAUUAGGAAGACAUUAUGUUACUUUUAAAAUAAAAGAAUUAUGUAGCUGUAAUGUAGGUGUUUCUGUUUGACUAAAAAGAAUUUCGAAAA